GAAUAAAUAAUUACCUAAAUAUAUCAUACAAAUAUACAUCACCAUACUUCUAGUACUAAUUGGAUGUCUAAAUUUUGAGUAAGUAAUACUACUCAAAUUGGUGUUUCAAGUUAUAGAACUGAAUUAAUCUAUUGCUUAAUUUAUAUUCUCAUCAAUUAUACUGAAAUUACAAUAUUUUAAUAAAUUUAUAUUCUCAUCAAUUAGUAGCAUUAAGGAUGAAUUUGAAUCGAGACAAAUUUAGUUGACAUGUUUCAGCGAUUUUAAAAUAUAAUAAUUUAGAGACUACUUUUGAUACAAUUUCAAGUAGCAACUUAAAUAAAUACUAAUUUGAUUUUAGAAUAAAAUUAUCGUUGAUAAAGUGUAUAUAUAGUGCGGAUAUGUACGAGUUUUUAAAAAGAAUUUAUAGAACAAGUCCUCUAUUGACACGUAGCAGUUAAGCAAUAAGCACCUAAUAAAUGAUGUUGCAAAUACGCCAAAGGCCUAAAAGAGAACCAAAACCACAAACAGACAUUUAGAGCCUUCCUACACAACCGACAUUCGAACCACAACAAAUAUUCUGAUGCAGGACACAAGAAAAUUUAAAGUAAGAAAAAAAAGAAGAAAAUGAAUAUUGAGAGAUAAAAUAGAGCAAUUGAAAAGAAUGUUGGAGAAAUGUAGCAGAUGAAGAAUGAACCUGAGAAUAGAUGUGAUCAGAAUCAGGAGCAGAGCCUUGAGCAGGUAAACCAAGAGCAGCACCAAUAUCAGCAACAGCAGGUUGAAGUUCUUUCACAGAGAGUUUACCAUCUUUGUCUGUAUCCAACUCAUGAAACUUAUGGUUCACGAAUUUGGUGAAAACAUCUUUGUUUCCAACCAACUCCAUAAUAUUAGAACCAUCUAGAACCUCAACUGUGUUUCCACCACCACUAAUACUUUUCCCCUUCCCUGUGUUUGAACCACUCUCCAUUGUGACUCUUGUGACCUUUCUAGCUAUAUGUCCCCCUUUUUCCCUUUCUCCUCUCGUGAUCUUUCUAUUUUCUCUCUCUCUCUCUCUCAAUCCUCAACUAUCACACUAUUUAUUUCACUUUCAAUUCAAAUACAACUUUGCUUCU